UUUUAAAAAAUAAAAACCAAAAAUAAAAUAAACAAAACAUUUUUAUAAAAAUUAUAAAAUUAUGCAUUUUACUAAAAGCCGCGCCGUCAAAAAGCAGAACAUGAUUUGAAAGCAAAAACAAAAUCGUUUUUGUCACCAAAACGGAAAAGUCGAGAUUUUGACUAUAUCAACUAGGAAUCUGAGAGAAGCCUGAGAGAUAGAUUCUGACAAAAGCAUUGAUCUAAGCAAUUGAGCAGCUAUUAAAAGUACACCAAGUGAGAUAUAAAUCGAAAAUAAAUAAUUCAUUAAAUAUAUAAAAGAAAUAAUAAUAAUUAUUAUAAUAAAUAAAAACUGUGCAAAUCAACACCACCAAAGAAAACCAACUAUUACAGAGAUAACAAAGAAACGAAUCUAAUCAUUAAAAUAAAAAUUUAUACACCAACAACAAAAAAAAAAAAAAA